rnacentral:lncRNA from 1 species
AUCCAAACACCACGUUCCUGCUUAACAGAAAUUGGUCAGUAUGCGCUUAAUGCUCAUAGUGUGGCGUCCGGACACGCAGCAAGAGAAAAACGCAAUAACCUGGUCCGUCAGCGUUCCUUGCUUCAGCAGGCCUUAAAUAUGUGCUGCAUCUUUUGGGGGACGUUACUUAAGAGGCAAACAUCUGGCUCGAAGUCUUCCAUUAUUUUCAGCAAGCAUUUAGGAGGUGACUGCACUAUAAGGAGAAUAACCCACAGUAGCACAGGUUGGGAGUCUGCACAGUGCCGAGGCCAGCUCAGUCUUCACUAUUCGAACGAAGGAAGCCUGGGGCAACUGUUUGUUUUCUCUGCCCUGCAUGUUAGUUGCCCGUUGUUUUUGGAGAAAAAACUAGUAUCGGGGUAUAUAGGUGGAAAAAUUUGGAUUUGGCAGCUUGAAGCCUUUUUUGCGACAAGCUUAGGUUAGGAAGGGAUAGAGGGGAGGAAAGAAAAAAUAAUUUUCCACCAUAGUAGAUCUGCGAAAGCAGACCUUCUGUUUGUCCUCUUAUCUAUUGUCUUUCCCUCACCCCUCACCCCCCACCCCUUGUCUCCUAAAAACCAGUCCAGACUUUCCCCGCCACCUCCGUCCUUGUAGCAGAUAACGUUGCUCCUUCCUUCAUGGAUAAAUUGAAGGCCAACAGACAAAAACUUUUCAACUCUUUGCUGCUCUCCCCGCUCUAAAUUUAUCUUUACACCUUCAGAGAAGAGCACCCUUCUGUUUUCCCCUCCUACCUCAAACCCAGUAGGUCAAAAUUCUUCCGUCAAUCAUUUUUACCCAUCCUAUCUCCCUCUUUCAUUUAUACAGAUUCCAAGCUGCCUUUCUUCUUCUAAAAAAAAAAAAAAAAAAAAAAGCAAAAAAACUCCUUUGACCUUGCCUGUCUUUCUAAAUGAAAUCUGUCUGUUGUUUUCAUGGCUGCACUUCUUGAAACCAUGUUCUACAAUUGCCACAUUUGCUUCUUAACCUUCUAUCUUCAGUCCAUAGCCCACCAAUCCACUGAAACUAUUCUAGCUAAGGCUACGAUACCCAAGCCUCCUAAUUGGCAGGUCUAAGGGACCCUUUCUGACAUAGGUGAUGUAAUUUACCACCAAUCUCUGUCACUUGUGACUGCUGUUUCCUCCCUGAACGUUUCUUCUCCCUGGUUCUUGUUCACAGCCCCUGAUAUUUCCUCCCAGGCUCUCUCUUCUGCCCACCCAGCAAAUGUUUUUGUUCCUUACAGUUCCCUCCUAAAUGUUCUCUGUUCUCUCACCGUGUUCUUCAUGAGUGAUGUAAUCAAUUCUCAAGGCUCUCAAA